GACGAACGCUGGCGGCGUGCCUAAUACAUGCAAGUAGAACGCUGAAGGAGGAGCUUGCUCUUCUGGAUGAGUUGCGAACGGGUGAGUAACGCGUAGGUAACCUGCCUGGUAGCGGGGGAUAACUAUUGGAAACGAUAGCUAAUACCGCAUAACAGUAGAUGUUGCAUGACAUUUGCUUAAAAGGUGCAAUUGCACCACUACCAGAUGGACCUGCGUUGUAUUAGCUAGUUGGUGGGGUAACGGCUCACCAAGGCGACGAUACAUAGCCGACCUGAGAGGGUGAUCGGCCACACUGGGACUGAGACGAGGCCCAGACUCCUACGGGAGGCAGCAGGAGGGAAUUUUCGGAAAUGGACGGAAGUCUGACCGAGCAACGCCGGGGGGGGGAAGAAGGUUUUCGGAUCGUAAAGCUCUGUUGUAAGGGAAGAACGGGUGUGGGGGUGGAAAGUGCACACUGGGACGGUAUUUUACCAGAAAGGGACGGCUAACUACGU
rnacentral:rRNA from 1 species